rnacentral:rRNA from 1 species
CCUACGGGUGGCAGCAGUGAGGAAUAUUGCGCAAUGGGGGAAACCCUGACGCAGCGACGCCGUGUGAGCGAUGAAGGCCUUCGGGUUGUAAAGCUCUGUCAGAGGGGAAGAAAGGGGAUAUGGCUAAUAUCCAUGUCCAUUGACGGUACCCUUGGAGGAAGCACCGGCUAACUCCGUGCCAGCAGCCGCGGUAAUACGGGGGGUGCGAGUGUUAUUCGGACUCGUUGGGCGUAAGGUACAUGUAAGGGGAAAUCCCGGAGCUCAACUCCGGAACUGCAUUUGAUACUGCCUGUCUUGAGUGUGGUAGAGGGGGGUGGAAUUCCCGGUGUAGAGGUGAAAUUCGUAGAUAUCGGGAGGAACACCAGAGGCGAAGGCGACCCCCUGGGCCACUACUGACGCUGAGGUGCGAAAGCGUGGGGAGCAAACAGGAUUAGAUACCCCAGUAGUC